CAGUAGCCGCGGGAAUACGUAGGGUGCGAGCGUUAAUCGGAAUUACUGGGCGUAAAGCGUGCGCAGGCGGUUUUGUAAGACAGGCGUGAAAUCCCCGGGCUCAACCUGGGAAUGGCGCUUGUGACUGCAAAGCUAGAGUGCGGCAGAGGGGGAUGGAAUUCCGCGUGUAGCAGUGAAAUGCGUAGAUAUGCGGAGGAACACCGAUGGCGAAGGCAAUCCCCUGGGCCUGCACUGACGCUCAUGCACGAAAGCGUGGGGAGCAAACAGGAUUAGAUACCCGCGUAGUCCCUGUCUCUUAUAC
rnacentral:rRNA from 1 species